UGGGAUGCUUUGUGGCUAAGUGCGGAAAUCUCUCGAGUUCGAAUGGGGGAGCCAGGUUCUCACCUGGUUUGGUGCGAAUGGCCCAAACUGGUUGUGCCAGACCAGCCUAGCUUACUCCGUGUAUUGUGAAAUGUUCUUUUGUUAUGAUGUUACUAAAGCCCCUUUUACCAAAUCAAAGAUGAAAACAGACUGAAAGUACCCAGAAACCUGAUUUGCAAGAGUGAGACCAACAGUUUCUGCAGGCAAGGAACAUUUUUAGGAUGGCAGUUCACUCCUUCCAUAGACCGAAGGAGGCGGCAGCAUAUUUUGAAAUGGCCAGUGCUGUCC
rnacentral:lncRNA from 1 species